UUUAAUUUUCCGCUAUACAUGUUAAGUAGAUUCCCAACAUUACUUAGGGUAAAUUUUUUUUUUUUUUUUUUUUUAUGAAUCUAAUGAGCCUAUCCUCUCUUCUUUAUUCAUAUAAAAAAAAAACUUAAUCUAAUGCAAAACAAAAAUACUCGGAGGACUCUUCUGACAAAAUAAAAAAUAUGUAAUUGUCAGCAAGGUUGUCUCUUUUUUUUCUUCACUUCAAAUCCAAAAAAUUCUUCUGACUUAUACAUAAGACAUAGGUUGUCGAUUCAGCAUUAGAUAAAGGAGGGAAAAUGCCCAUUUUCAAAUAAGUGGUUCAAAUCAUUUUAUCGAGAUGAGUGUUCUAUAUCGAUAAAAUAUUCAUUUGAAAAUCAUCACUAUAUUAACAUAGUGGUAAAAAGAGUACCAUGCCGCAUCUAGACUUCAAAGAUUUGCUUUAACCAUCUUAACAGUCCCACAUUCUUGGUUCCUAGAGAGUCAAAGUAGAUUUUCCAAUUAAUCACGAAAUGCUAUGGUUCUUACAUAUAAUUUANUGGAAAUAAAAAAUUGUUUUAAUUUUUUGCUGCGCAUGUUAAGUAGAUUCCCAACAGAUACAAUAUGACUAUUAAGGAUUUUUAAAAAAUUCAUAAAAUUUUAUAUUGAAAACCCUAGACGUUUAUGA
rnacentral:lncRNA from 1 species